GACAGAGGGUGCGAACGUUGUUCGGAAUUACUGGGCGUAAAGCGCACGUAGGCGGAUUUGUAAGUCAGGGGUGAAAUCCCGAGGCUCAACCUCGGAACUGCCUUUGAUACUGCGAAUCUCGAGUCCGGAAGAGGUGAGUGGAAUUCCUAGUGUAGAGGUGAAAUUCGUAGAUAUUAGGAAGAACACCAGUGGCGAAGGCGGCUCACUGGUCCGGUACUGACGCUGAGGUGCGAAAGCGUGGGGAGCAAACAGG
rnacentral:rRNA from 1 species